CUGUAAUAUAAUAAACAAAUGCUUUCAGAAGGAGGAUUUUAUCAGCUCGAAAAUAGGACUUGGUAUCCUCUGAUACCAAGUGCAGAAAAACUUGGAGUCAUCUGAAAAUUCCUGUGAUAAUUAAGUUUACGGCUAAAAUAUGCCUAACAUGAGAAAUCUGAGCUACAGCACAGAUUCCUUUUCAUCUGUCAAAGCUGGUUUAUUAAAAAGGAAGAGAAUAAAAAUGUACUGGUGAGAUUAUGUUUUUUAAACAGCCACCUCCUUAGUCACAGACCUGUAACUGGCACACUAAUAUAAUUUGGGGGAUAUGACGCUUGCCUGUCAAACUUUGCUAUAGCUACAAGAAAAUGUAAAUGAGAUUAAGAGAAUAAUCCCCCCUACUUGAUAGCUAGCAGUCAAAUAUUUAAGGCUCUUCUCUUUCCCUUGUAUGUCACCACAGCAAAUUAUAGGAUUGGAACAAAGUGAACACCUAUCAUCUUAGCAGUAAAUUUUAUAUUCCUACAUGUUGGCAUAUAAAUCCAACACUGGGAAAAUUUAGACAGAACUUCAGGGAUCUCAGUACUAACUCAGAAUUGAAAAGUAGGUGCUCAGAUGAUCACCACAGGACCCAGAAGGGCCACCAUUUCAGGCUUAUGAAGCACUUAUCCCUCACCUAUCUGCCAAGAAUCUCAGGAGGUAGGAAAGCCAAAAAGGAGAACAUGUGACUGUAACAGCAGAGGUUUUAGUACCUGGCUUCCUUGAAAACCUUAGCAAUCCCAGAGUUUAAAAGUGAAAACAGACAAUGUUCUUUUCCAAGUGUCAAGACUUGAUUUUGUCACUAUAAACAUCAGAUUCCUGGUAGUAACUUUUAUAUGACCCAUUAAAAAAAUUUAUUAGGACCUGGAGUGUAUUUUUUAAAUGGGUCCAUUAGGUAAAGAAAUUACUAGCUGAGGAGAAUCAGAGAAGUCCUAUGAGGAUAAAACAUUUUCUAAAUUUGAUGAAAGCUAUAAAACCACAAAUCUAAAGGCUCAAAGAACCCUAAGCACAAGAAACAUAAAGAAAAGUACACCAAUGCAGAUCAUAAACAAAGUGCUCAGUACUAGUGAUAAGAGAAAUUCUUAAGAGCAUCCAGGGGAAAAAUGACAGGUUAUAUACAGAGGGUAAAUAUUAGAAUGAUACAUAAUUUUCUCAUUUAAAAAGUGCAAUUGCAAAGACUGUGAAACAUUUUUACAGUACUGGGAGGAGGAGAAAGAAAGUAUCAACCGCUAAUUCUAUGCACAACUAACAUGUCUUUUAAAAAUUAAAGUAAAAUGAAGAUGUUUUCAGAUAUACAAAAGCUGAAAGAAUUAAUCACCAGUAGGCCAGUACUUCAA
rnacentral:lncRNA from 1 species